rnacentral:rRNA from 1 species
UACAGAGGGUGCAAGCGUUGUUCGGAGUUAUUGGGCGUAAAGCGCGUGUAGGCGGCUUUGCAAGUCGGGUGUGAAAGCCCUCAGCUCAACUGAGGAAGUGCGCCCGAAACUGCAGAGCUUGAGUGCCGGAGAGGGUGGCGGAAUUCCCCAAGUAGAGGUGAAAUUCGUAGAUAUGGGGAGGAACACCGGUGGCGAAGGCGGCCACCUGGACGGUAACUGACGCUGAGACGCGAAAGCGUGGGGAGCAAACAGG